AUGUUUCGCGUCUGUGAAUGAAAUUUGUUGUGGAUCUCGCAUGUAGAAAAGAAAAAUCUCAAACCAGAGAAGAAAAAAUUUCAAUAAAUAAAUUUUGACAUAUGUCAAGCUACGAAUUUUUUUACUAAAACUUUGGUCUUACUUCUCGGUUUCAUUUUUUUAGUUAAUUUUGGUUGAUAAAUAAAAACGGAGUGUCAAAACAAUACCUACUUUAAUAAAUUUACAAACUUUUGAGUAACGACGAAAGUAAUAAAAUUGGUGAUAUUAAUAUCAUAAGACAAAUUUUGAAAGAAAAAAAUUCAAAAACAAUGACCACAUCCAUUAAUCAAUCCUCGACAUCGUCUGGUCAAAUUGGAUUUAUAUCUACAUGUGGAACACCGCGUCGAAAAAUGAGCAAGGUAAUAUGUUUGGAUCUUGCCUCUAUAGAUGUUGAAACUCAAAUGAAAAUUAUGUGUGUCCGAUUAGGUGGAAUUGAUGAUCGAUUUGUGGAGAAAGGGCGUAUUUGAUUGAACUUAUCAAAGAAACUAAUGAUUCGUUAUCCAAGCUUAUUGAAGAAUUUGAAUCGCGUGAUACAACUGCGAAAAAUGCAUCAAAGAAAAAGCUUUCUCCAGUUAUCAAUGGUUCGCUGAAUGAUCUAACUGAUUCAAAUUCAACUUCCGAAUCGACUCUGAGUCCAGAUUCCCAUAGACCAAAGAGAUCCAAGCGCGAAUCAGAAUUCAAUACACAAAUAUCGAAAUUCACUAAAGCAGGUGGAGCGUUGAGACGAGAAGCGGUUAAAAAGAUGCAUGAUUCCAAAGGUGAUGAUUUGAUUAUAUAUUUUGAGGAGCUUAAAAAAACGAAAAGAUGUGCUCAGUCGUUUAAAGAAACAAUGUGAUGCUCUGUCUACAUUUAUUAAAAGGCGGAAUGAGGUGAAAAAUAAAGAACUUUUAUCUGAAUUGGAUAAGUUUAUUGAUGGAGUAGCUGCAACAUUAUAGAAGUGAAUCGUUGUUUUCACGCCUCGUUUUGAAAAUAAGAUCGUAAUUAGAUCUGCAUUUUCCAUUUGCCCAAAAUGUCAUAUUACAUUCUCCUUUUUGUUAUGAAAUCGACUGAAAUAAAAACUGCUCUUUCGAUAUCAAAUAAAAUCUCUGUAUUUAAACAGUGUGCCCGUGUAUAUUUGUUCGUUGUUCGUA